rnacentral:lncRNA from 1 species
UGUGAUUCAAUAAUAUGACCUCCGACAUUUACUAAUGAUAUGACCAGGGAAAAGCGGCUCAGCUUCUUUGAGUCUCACUUUGCUCAUCUAUAAAAUGGGGAUAAAAAAAAUCAUUACGGCACCUACCUCUUGAAGCCAUUGUCAGGUUCAAGAGACACUACAUGCAAAAUGCCUUGGUGACUUAAUGCACUCUAUAAAAGUCAAGAAUUAUUAUUAGCAAUUCUUAUACAAUUAUACUUUUCCUGUCUCCCUCAAUGGACUGGGCACACAGGAAACUCACUUGACUAAUAGACUAACCAAUUCCAAGGAGAGAACAAGUUAUCUAGUUCAAAUCAGUCAUUUUACAGAUAAGGAAACUGAGGCCCAGGGUUAGGUGAAGUGAUUUGUCCAGUGUCACAUUUGGAACAAGUAUCUGGAAUCUUAGAGAUGAACUUAAUAGCGCUCCUAGUAGUCCCUUGCCUAGAGGAAGAGGAGCUCACUUGCUGCUUAUUGACUUGAGCCACAACUAGGACAGGGCAAUCAGGGAUUUUUCCCAGGGCACUGAAACUUAUUUUUAUUUUUUUAAACCCUUACCUUCCAUUUUGAAAUUAAUAUUGUGUAUUGGUUCCAAGGCAGAAGAGCAGUAAGGGCUAGGCAAUGGAAAUUAAGUGACUUGCCCAGGGUCACACAGCUGGGAAGUGUCUGAGGUCACAUUUGAACCCAGGACCUCCUGUCUUGAGGCCUGGCUCUCCAUUGUGGAUUCACUGAGCUACUGAGCUGCCCCCUCAGGGCACUGAAAUGUACGAGGCCAUUGACAACACUUACCACUGCUGAGAUUAGUACCUGUAUGGAAGGAAGAAUUAGAUAAAACAGGAAGCUACCAGAUGAUAGCUAUUGCCCAGACCUAUGAUAUCACUGGUGUAUCAAGAAAUGUCCUCUCCUUAUGCAGAGCCACAGACUUGCAGGAUUCCAAAUGUAUACACAAAAAGAAUCCUCCCCAUGAUGUGCCUAACAAAAGAUCAUACACCCUCUACUUGAAGACCUCUACGGAUAUAUGAGGAGCCCCAUUACCUCUCAAGAUGGCUGAUUCCAUUUUUGUUUAACUUAAACUGUUUUUCCCUCUGCUAGUCCCCCCUAUUGUUUCUGCCCUUUGGCACCAAAUAGAAUAAAUCUAUUCUUUCUUCCUUCUGAGAGCCCUUC